AAACAACGAUGAAGAGUUUGAUCCUGGCUCAGGAUGAACGCUAGCGGCAGGCCUAACACAUGCAAGUCGAGGGGUAACAUA
rnacentral:rRNA from 1 species